AUUAUUGAACCCUCUGCGCCCCGAGCCCCCACCUAUAAAUACCAGAUGUUCAUACCAAGAGUUGCUCAACACAUCCAUUCCAUUUUGUAAGAUACAUAGAGAAAAGAGAGCAGCAGCAGCACAUUUUAGAGUUUGAAUUAUGGCAGGCGUCAACGUUGUUGGGAAGAGCUCGUGGCCGGAGCUGGUAGGGAAAAAUGGGGGGGACGCAGCGGCAACAAUAAUAAGAGAGAAUCCAAAAGUGUUUGUGGUGAUUAUCCCCCCCUUGGUCACUCCCAUUAUUGGCGACUCCGACGGCACUCGUGUCCGCGUCGUCGUCGAUGACCGCUUCAUUGUCACCAAUGUCCCUACUAUUGGAUAAACAAUCGUGUUACUAAAUUAAAUAAUAUAAAUAAGAGCUCCUCAGUAUGUUAAUUAGAGGAGCCCAACGCUCUUGAAUGUGAUGAAAUAAAUGUUGUUUAACUUCUGGAUCUGUCUUAAUCUAGUUAUAAUAUUUUGUUUACGUCUCCUCUUCAUAUAUUUCAAGUAUACUAAAAGAAGAAUGAUUUGCCU